GUGUGUGUGUGAUUGUGCAUGCAUGUGUAUGUGUGUAAGUGUUUGUGUGUGUGUGUGUGUGUGUGUGUGUGAUUGUGUUUACACAGACAGAUGAGGAGUUAUUUAACAGGGAGUUGAGUACCUAAGGCUGAUGGAUUGGAUGUAGAAAAACAAGGACGACAAGACUGCUUAUUUGGACAAGGAUCAUACAAGGCUAGAGACUGGGAGAAGUCUGCACAGAACUACCAGGACUGCCAGGACUGCACAGAACUACCAGGACUGCCAGGACUGCACAGAACUACCAGGACUGCCAGGACUGCACAGAACUACCAGGACUGCCAGGACUGCACAGAACUACCAGGACUGCCAGGACUGCACAGAACUACCAGGACUGCCAGGACUGCACAGAACUACCAGGACUGCCAGGACUGCACAGAACUACCAGGACUGCCAGGACUGCACAGAACUACCAGGACUGCCAGGACUGCACAGAACUACCAGGACUGCCAGGACUGCACAGAACUACCAGGACUGCCAGGACUGCACAGAACUACCAGGACUGCCAGGACUGCACAGAACUACCAGGACUGCCAGGACUGCACAGAACUACCAGGACUGCCAGGACUGCACAGAACUACCAGGACUGCCAGGACUGCACAGAACUACCAGGACCUUAGAUCAAUGGAAACACUCAAGUUUUUUAAUCCUGUAUCUCUUGACACAUUCCUGAAAAUAGUCAUGCCCUCUAAACCUUCCAGCUGUUUACUGGACCCUAUUCCAACUAAACUACUGAAAGAGCUACUUCCUGUGCUUGGCCCUCCUAUGUUGAACAUAAUACACGGCUCCCUAUCCUCCGGAUGUGUACCAAACUCACUAAAAGUGGCAGUAAUAAAGCCAAACUUGAAAAAGCCAAACCUUGACCUGGAAAAAAAUAUAUACAGUACCUACACGUACGCUACGGUCACAAGAAGCAGGCUUCCUUAUUCUUCCUAGAAUUUCUAAGCAAACAGCUGGAGGCAGGGCUUUCUCCUAUAGAGCAACAUUUUAUGGAAAGGUCUGCCGAUCCAUGUGAGAGACGCAGACUCAAUCUCAACCUUUAACUCUUUACUGAAGACUCAUCUCUUCAGUAGGUCCUAUGAUUGAGUGUAGUCUGGCCUAGGAGUGUGAAGGUGAACGGAAAGGCACUGGAGUAACGAACCGCCCUUGCUGUCUCUGCCUGGCCGGUUCCCCUCUCUCCACUGAGAUUCUCUGCUCUGACCCUAUUACGGGGGCUGAGUCACUGGCUUGCUUGCGCUCUUCCAUCCUUCCUGUCCUCGGGCUUGUGCGGUGGGGAGAUCUUCGUGGGCUAUAAUCGGCCUUGUCUCAGGGUAGUAAGUUAGUGAUCUGUGAUAUCCCUUUAGUGGUGUGGGGGCUGUGCUUUGGCAAAGUGGGUGGGGUAAUAUCCUGCUUGGUUGGCCCUGUCCGUGGGUAACUUUGGAUGGGUCCACAGUGUCCCCCCCCCCCCCCCCUCAUUCUCCAGUAUCUAUGCUGCAAUAGUCUAUGUGCCAGGGUGUAAUAUUUGGUGUAAUUCCCCAUGCACCUGCUGUCUCAAUCUCUGAAUGCUCGGCUAUGAAAAGUCCACUGACAUUAACCCUGAGGUGCUGACUUUUUGCACCCUCUAUAACCACUGUGAUUAUUAUCUCACCCUGCUGGUCAUCUAUGAACGUUUAAACAUCUUGAAGAAUGAUCUAUCAAUUAAUGGCUAUGUACUCUUAUGAUCUCCACCUGGCACCACCAGAAGAGGAGUGGUCAACCCUCAGAGCCUGGUUCCUCUCUGUUUCUUCCUAGGUUCCUGCCUUUCUAGGGAGUUUUUCCUAGCUGCCGUGCUUCUACAUCUGUAUUGCUUGCUCUUUGGGGUUUUAGGCUGGGUUUCUUUAUAAGGACUUUGUGACAUCUGCUGAUGUAAAAAGGGCUUUAUAAAUUAAAUUGAUUGAUUCAUUGCUUUAAAAAAAAAAUACAAUACAAGUUUUAAAUGUCCUGCAUUAAAGGAAAGUUCUCCUGCAACAGGGGGAUCAAAAUAAGAUUUUAAAUCUGUACUUAGAGUUCAAAGGUUAUAAAACAACCCUGGGGUGAAUGGAUUUUGAUCCCAUUACUGAGGGUACUGAGAGACAGACAACCUUGAAGACUAGUCUUCUGCUUACCAUAACUAUGCAACAAGCCAUUACAGUUUCACUGCAGAAUUAGACAUUUAUCCACGUUUCUCCAAAAGUGUUUUAAACACUGUGUUGACUCCUCCUGCUCAGCAUCAUUCCGUUUCUCCAAACGUUAAAUUUCAAAGUGUUUUUAAGGGUUCCGUUCUGGGAUAGGGCUAAAACAUGACAUUUUGGCAUUCAUUCCAAGUGGUUAAUUUAAGGGUUAAGGUUUGGGAUAGGGUUUGAACACGAGACCUUCCGAUCCACAGUCAUUAGGGUACACAGUCAUAAUGUAAUAGAGCACACUGUUGCCCAUAGUGGCCGGUUUUGAAGGCAUUUCAUAACGUCCAAUUUCGAAGUCACUCUCUGCCUGGACUAUGACCAUGGGUUUAAAUACUUCACACAUAUUUUAAGUAUAUUCUUUACCUGUAAAUAGCAGAGAGUAUAAUAUACUGUAAUGGUUCUGGCUGUGUGUAUUGGUGUUUGUGUGGUGGGCUAUAUAUUUGUUUUAGUGUGGGUGGUAGAAUGGAAAACCUACUGUAUGUCAGCGGUGUUGAAUUAUUGAACAAAGUUAUCACCAUGAGUGUAGUCAUUCAGAUAGAUUUGAGUGUGUACUCUUAAUUGUGUGUGUUUACUUGCCUUUGUACUAAUGUCAGGAUGUGCAUUAGGUGUGUACCAGCAGCUGUUGAAUUAUUGAACAAACCAUUAUCACUUUGGCAGAUUGUGAUAUUUGCAGUUCUAUUAGUGUUGCCCUGACGAUAAUGGGUCUCAACAUUACCCCUUUGGAAGAACAGGGUAACACGUCAGUUUUACUUAAGGAUCCUCUUAAGGAUCGGCCCCUUUUUUUCAAUUUUCGCCUAAAAUGACAUACCCAAAUCUAACUGCCUGUAGCUCAGGCCCUGAAGCAAGGAUAUGCAUUUUCUUGGUACCAUUUGAAAGGAAACACUUUGAAGUUUGUGGAAAUGUGAAUGAAAUGUAGGGGAAUAUAACACAUUAGAUCUGGUAAAAGACAAUACAAAGAAAAAAACAACUGUUUUUUGUAUUUUCUUUGCACCAUCAUCUUUGAAAUGCAAGAGAAAGGCCAUAAUGUAUUAUUCCAGCCCAGUUGCAAUUUAGAUAUUGGCCACAAGAUGGCAGCAGUGUAUGUGCAAAGUUUUAGUCUGAUCCAAUGAACCAUUGCAUUUCUGUUUUGUAUCAAGAUUUUGUAUCAGGACUGCCCAAAUGUGCUUAAUUUGUUAAUGAAUAACUUUUCAUGUUCAAAACUAUGCACUCUCCUCAAACAAUAGUAUGGUAUUCUUUCACUGUAAUAGCUACUAUAAAUGUAAGUUUUCUGCCAAUAUCAGAUAUGUCUAUGUCCUGGGAAAUGUUCUUGUUACUUACAACCUCAUGCUAAUCGCUUUAGCCUACGUUAGCUCAACCGUCCCGCAGGGGACCCACCAAUCCUGAAGACACACACACACACACACAAACUCACGCGCAUACACACAUGUUCACACACAUAUGUCCCAUGUCCCCACGUCCUGCCACGUUUCUGAUCUUUGUAUCCCAGGGGGGUGGAGAGCCACAGUAGGAUAAAUGAACUUGCCAACA